rnacentral:rRNA from 1 species
UGGGGAAUUUUCCGCAAUGGGCGAAAGCCUGACGGAGCAAUACCGCGUGAGGGAGGAAGGCUCUUGGGUUGUAAACCUCUUUUCUCAGGGAAUAAAAAAAUGAAGGUACCUGAGGAAUAAGCAUCGGCUAACUCCGUGCCAGCAGCCGCGGUAAUACGGAAGAUGCAAGCGUUAUCCGGAAUGAUUGGGCGUAAAGCGUCCGCAGGUGGCACUGUAAGUCUGCUGUUAAAGAGCAAGGCUCAACCUUGUAAAGGCAGUGGAAACUACAGAGCUAGGGUACAUUCGGGGCAGAGGGAAUUCCUGGUGUAGCGGUGAAAUGCGUAGAGAUCAGGAAGAACACCGGUGGCGAAAGCGCUCGGCUAGGACGUAACUGACACUGAGGGACGAAAGCUAGGGGAGCGAAUGGG